rnacentral:rRNA from 1 species
UACAGGGGGGGCAAGCGUUGUUCGGAAUUACUGGGCGUAAAGGGCUCGUAGGCGGCCAACUAAGUCACACGUGAAAUCCCCAGGCUUAACCUGGGAACUGCGUGUGAUACUGGAUGGCUUGAAUUCGGGAGAGGGAUGCAGAAUUCCAGGUGUAGCGGUGAAAUGCGUAGAUAUCUGGAGGAAUACCGGUGGCGAAGGCGGCGUUCUGGACUGCAACUGACACUGAAAAACGAAAGCCAGGGGAGCAAACGGG